UGACCGCUGGCGGCGUGCCUCAUACAUGCAAGUCGCGCGAACGGACGAGAAGCUUGCUUCUCUGAUGUUAGCGGCGGACGGGUGAGUAACACGUGGAUAACCUACCUAUAAGACUGGGAUAACUUCGGGAAACCGGAGCUAAUACCGGAUAAUAUUUUGAACCGCAUGGUUCACAAGUGAAAGACGGUCUUGCUGUCACUUAUAGAUGGAUCCGCGCUGCAUUAGCUAGUUGGUAAGGUAACGGCUUACCAAGGCAACGAUGCAUAGCCGACCUGAGAGGGUGAUCGGCCACACUGGAACUGAGACACGGUCCAGACUCCUACGGGAGGCAGCAGUAGGGAAUCUUCCGCAAUGGGCGAAAGCCUGACGGAGCAACGCCGCGUGAGUGAUGAAGGUCUUCGGAUCGUAAAACUCUGUUAUUAGGGAAGAACAUAUGUGUAAGUAACUGUGCACAUCUUGACGGUACCUAAUCAGAAAGCCACGGCUAACUACGUG
rnacentral:rRNA from 1 species